rnacentral:ncRNA from 1 species
AUUCUGGUUGAUCCUGCCAGUAGUUAUAUGCUUGUCUCAAAGAUUAAGCCAUGCAUGUCUAAGUACACACGAAUUAAAAGUGAAACCGCAAAGCUCAUUAUAUCAGUUAUGGUUCCUUAGAUCGUUAACAGUACUUGGAUAACUGUGGUAAUCUAGAGCUAUACAUGCAAUAAACAUGAACCUUAUGGGACAUGUGCUUUAUUAGCCUAAACC